UGUGCUAAGAAUAUAGAGGAUAUUUGUUGGAUUCGAGGUGAGAUGUGCUAAGAAUAUAGAGGAUAUUUGUUGGAUUCGAGGUGAGAUGUGCUAAGAAUAUAGAGGAUAUUUGUUGGAUUCGAGGUGAGAUGUGCUAAGAAUAUAGAGGAUAUUUGUUGGAUUCGAGGUGAGAUGUGCUAAGAAUAUAGAGGAUAUUUGUUGGAUUCGAGGUGAGAUGUGCUAAGAAUAUAGAGGAUAUUUGUUGGAUUCGAGGUGAGAUGUGCUAAGAAUAUAGAGGAUAUUUGUUGGAUUCGAGGUGAGAUGUGCUAAGAAUAUAGAGGAUAUUUGUUGGAUUCGAGGUGAGAUGUGCUAAGAAUAUAGAGGAUAUUUGUUGGAUUCGAGGUGAGAUGUGCUAAGAAUAUAGAGGAUAUUUGUUGGAUUCGAGGUGAGAUGUGCUAAGAAUAUAGAGGAUAUUUGUUGGAUUUGGUGGAUUAUCGAUUUUAAUUCAGUAGUGAUCAUGGAAAAUAUAUAUUUUCUGUGAUCACGAGUGAAUUCAAAUAGAUAUUUUACUGAAUCCAACAAAUUUUCUUUUUAUUUUAAGUUUGUUUUAACAGUUGAUAUACAUAAAGAGUUUAACUAAAGAAUUAAGCUGGGAUAAUGAUGUCAUUUCGUAAAUAAAAUGACGUCAUUUCAGAGUAAACAGUGAAAAUUAUUGAUAAUUUUCACUGAUAAUUUUCACUGUUUGAAACAGUGAAAUUAUCAUUUUUAAUUCACUGAUUUUUCUCUAUAAACCACCGGGAAGCAUAAAAUAAAGUGUUGGUUAUAUGAGCCGUGUUGUGGGAAAACUGGGUCUUAAUUGGAUACCUGAGUGUCUGAUCAUAUACUGCAUUGAGUCUGAUAGGUGAGAUGUGCUUAGAAUAGUGUUGGUUAUAUGAGCUGAGUUGUGGGAAAACUGGAUCUUAAUUGCAUAUUUGAUUGUCUGAUCAUAUACUACAAAGAGUCUGAUAGGUGAGAUGUGCUAAGAAUAGUGUUGAUUAUAUGAGCUGUGUUGUGGGAAAACUGGGUCUUAAUUGGAUAUUUGAUCAGAAGUGACUAAGAAGAAACGUGUAAAGUUUUUUACCUGAUUAGCCUGUGCGGAUAAAGGUGUUGUCCUGAAGCAUAUUAAUAAAAAAAAUGCUUUUCUCACAAAAUUGACUGUUUGUUAGUACUCAUAUUUGAGUGCAUGUUUUCCUGUU